AUGGCUGUCGUCAGCUCGUGUCGUGAGAUGUUGGGUUAAGUCCCGCAACGAGCGCAACCCUUAUCCUAUGUUGCCAGCGGGUAAUGCCGGGGACUCGUAGGAGACUGCCGGGGUCAACUCGGAGGAAGGUGGGGAUGACGUCAAGUCUGCAUGCCCCUUACGCGUAGGGCUGCUAACAUGCUACAAUGGCCAGUACAAAGGGCUGCUAAUCCGCGAGGAGGAGCGAAUCCCAAAAAGCUGGUCUCAGUUCGGAUUGGAGUCUGCAACUCGACUCCAUGAAGCCGGAGUCGCUAGUAAUCCCGGAUCAGCUACGCCGGGGUGAAUACGUUCCCGGGCCUUGUACACACCGCCCGUCACACCACGAAAGUUGGUAACACCCGAAGCCGGUGGCCUAACCGCAAGGAAGGAGCCGUCGAAGGUGGGAUCAGCGAUUGGGGUGAAGUCGUAACAAGGUAGCCGUACCGGAAGGUGCGGCUGGAUCACCUCCUUUCUAAGGAGCUCGACUGAGGACACAUUCGGCGCAAUGUCGAGUGUGAGCCGCCUCAGCAGCACCCAGUUGACGCACUGAUUACUAAGACCUCUCGCUCGCCAGAGCCGUCGCAGGAGCAACAGCCUCCGACUCUGGCCCUCGAGUGGUCCCCAGACCUUCUGUUCCGUUUUGAAGGGGCAACCCCCCGUCAAUCUCGGUGCGCUGCGGCCCUUGUGGUCGCAGCGUGGCGCGAUUGCGGGAGUUGUUCCCUUUGAGGGAAACGGCCGCCGGCGGCCUUUGGAAUGACCGGCACCGCACCUUGAGAACUCCAUAGCGAGCACGAGCAUCUUUUGUAAGAAAGAUUUAUUGAUUCCAAGCUAUGAAGAGCCAACGGUGGAUGCCUUGGCACCUAGAGCCGAUGAAGGACGUGGGUGGCUGCGAAAAGCCACGGGGAGCUGCCGACCAAGCUUCGAUCCGUGGAUGUCCGAAUGGGGAAACCCGG
rnacentral:sRNA from 1 species